rnacentral:rRNA from 1 species
GACGAACGCUGGCGGCGUGCCUAAUACAUGCAAGUAGAACGGGAUUGGGAACGGGCGAGUAAGGCAUAGGUGACAGCCUGGUAGUGGGGGAGAACAAUUGGAGACGAUAGUUAAUACCGCCUACUAACAGAUGGACAUGGGUUGGAUUAGCUGGUUGGUGGGGUGACGGCUCACCAAGGCAACGAUACCGAGCCGACCUGGGAGGGUGAUCGGCCACAACGGGAACUAGACACGGCCCAGACUCCUACGGGAGGCAGCCGUAGGGGAUCUUCGGCAAUGGACGGAAGUCUGAACGAGCAACGCCGCGUGAGUGAAGAAGGUUUUCGGAGCGUAAAGCUCUGUUGUGAGAGAAGCGGUAUCUUACCAGAAAGGGACGGCUAACUACGUGCCAGCAGCCGCGGUAAUUC